CAGGGUGUGGUCAGAUCAGCUUCCCAGGAAAGAAGCUGGGAGGGAGCCCCUGCAACUCACAUAAAAUGCACAACCCCUAGAGACAGGCUCAUUUCCAGCUUUGACGUGCCUGCUGUCUGUCAAGGGCCCAGUGAAUGCUUCCCACCCGCAGGGCUCAGCCGCCUCCAGGACCGAGGGGCCCAUUGGGCAAUCCAUCACGGAGCACACCUGGCCUGCCCAAAGGACACAGCAGGCUACCAUUCCGCCGAAAAGAAGAAAAGACUCAAAACAUCCAUCUGUGGUUCCAGAUAUCAACAAGGGGGGAAUCAAAAGUACCUGAAAUGUUCAUGUCACACUGAGAUUUGAGUCUACAACUUUCUAGCUGUCACUUCCAACAGGAGCUUCAAACCUUUGAGACUCAGUUUCCAAACUGGUGAGAGAAGAUAACUUGAGUAUCUUGUUACAAAUUUCUUUAUUCUGCAAUAGGAACACAGUGUCAUGGGCCCUUGGUGGUCUUUUGAAAAUCUUUGCAUUCGUCCACCUGAAAACUCCUAUUCAUCCUGCAAAUUCCAGCUCACAUAGCCCUUCUUCAAUCCAGAGAACCUCAGAAGAAAAUCAUUUCCAUCUCUGUUCUAUUUCAGUAGCUAAUACAGUUUUUUUGUUGUCAUAUUUACAGCUCUGUUCUGGUAUUUAUAUUUUUACUCUUCUGCUGGGCUGAUCUCAAGGGCAGAGACUUUGCCUAUUUGUUACUGUAGCCAGGACAUAAAAAGUGCUUGGAAAACGUG
rnacentral:lncRNA from 1 species